CUAUCCCCAUGUGAUUUUACUAGCUUCUUAGGAGAAUGAC
rnacentral:misc_RNA from 1 species